AUUGAACGCUGGCGGCAGGCCUAACACAUGCAAGUCGAACGGUAACAGGAAGAAGCUUGCUUCUUUGCUGACGAGUGGCGGACGGGUGAGUCAUGUCUGUGAAACUGCCUGAUGGAGGGGGAUAACUACUGGAAACGGUAGCUAAUACCGCAUAACGUCGCAAGACCAAAGAGGGGGACCUUCGGGCCUCUUUCCAUCGGAUGUGCCCAGAUGGGAUUAGCUAGUAGGUGGGGUAACGGCUCACCUAGGCGACGAUCCCUAGCUGGUCUGAGAGGAUGACCAGCCACACUGGAACUGAGACACGGUCCAGACUCCUACGGGAGGCAGCAGUGGGGAAUAUUGCACAAUGGGCGCAAGCCUGAUGCAGCAAUGCCGCGUGUAUGAAGAAGGCCUUCGGGUUGUAAAGUACUUUCAGCGGGGAGGAAGGGAGUAAAGUUAAUACCUUUGCUCAUUGACGUUACCCGAAGAAGAAGCACCGGCUAACUCCGUG
rnacentral:rRNA from 1 species